GAUGAAGAACGCAGCGAAAUGCGAUAAGUAAUGUGAAUUGCAGAAUUCAGUGAAUCAUCGAAUCUUUGAACGCACAUUGCGCCCGCUAGUAUUCUAGCGGGCAUGCCUGUUCGAGCGUCAUUUCAACCCUCGAGCCCCCCCGGGGGCCUCGGUGUUGGGGGACGGCACACCAGCCGCCCCCGAAAUGCAGUGGCGACCCCGCCGCAGCCUCCCCUGCGUAGUAGCACACACCUCGCACCGGAGCGCGGAGGCGGUCACGCCGUAAAACGCCCAACUUUCUUAGAGUUGACCUCGGAUCAGGUAGGAAUACCCGCUGAACUUAAGCAUAUCAAUAAGCGGAGGA
rnacentral:misc_RNA from 1 species